GUGCAUAGUUGCAAAAUAAUUCAUAUUUAUGUUUGGGUUACAAAUAGUUCAAAUCGGCUACUUUUAAAGCACAGUUUUGUUACAUUUUUAUUUUCAGAUCUGGCAACACUGUUCGUCAGUCCGUAUCACUUUCAACAUGUCUUUGAACAUGACACAAGAUGAUAUUUCAGCGGCUCCCGUCGUGGAUCCCGAAGAAAUUUUUGAUAACUUGACGUGCUUUAAUUUUGCACGCUACUUUCCCACCGAAGAGGCAGCGGAGAAAUUUUGCCACAUGGUGAGACUCGUUCCCCAUCCGGACCUAACCGGCUUUGUACCGUCGUGCCCAAAGUGCGGAGGCGUGAUGAGGAAAGAGCUGGCACCAGCGGAUAGGUUCGGAUUCGUCUACCGCUGUGAAAAACUACAACAAAAGAAAAAAAUGCGCCGGCGGACUGGCGGCUCCGUCUGGCGGGCCGUUUGCACCGGUACCCUCUCUUGUACCCAUAACACAUUUUUUGAAAGAGCUCAGCUCUCAGCUCAACAGGUGCUGAUGAUAAUUUAUGAAUGGGUCAAAGAGGAACCGGUCACCGUCGCCGCAAAAGAAUGCGGCGUGGCCCUGAAAACAGCGGUGGACUGGUUUAACUUCUGCCGGGAAAUUGCGGAGGUUUUCGUCUCCAACAACCAAAAUCAUCAACUUGGCGGUUACGGAAAGCACGUCGAGAUUAAUGAAACUUUUACUAGGAGACGAAAAUACAACCGCGGGCGCGUUACCAAAGGCACCCAAAUAACUAUAUUUGGUGCCUAUUGUCGGGAAACGCGAGAGCCUAUGUACUGGCAUGUAGAGAACAAAAGCAGGCGCGUUUUAUGGAGCCACGUGUCCAGAUACAUAGCCCCUGGUUCCAUCAUCGUUUCCGACAGCGCGCCCCAAUAUCGCGGUUGUACGACGAUGGGCUUCUCGGAACAAAAGACCGUGAAUCACAGCCAGCAGGGCUCCGGGAGAUUCGUCAACAGCGAAGAUCCCGAGGCCCACACUCAAAACAUCGAGUGUAGAGAUCGCUGGCCGAAGAAGUCCAUCAAGUCGCUCCGCACGGACAGGAGCCUGCAGGGGAGUUACGCUUGCAGCUACGUGUACAGGAUGCGGUUCCUGUCCAAGUUGCCAACAAUAUCGGCAAAAUUCCGGCAGUUUAUCGGGGAUAUCGUGGCCGUCUACCCGGGCCCCGGUCGCCAGGGUCUCCAACUCAAGACGAUCGGUGUGCCCGUGGAUCAACAUCCGCCGCCAGACGAGUCCUAUUUCGAUGUUCCCGUGCACGAGGGCGACGAAGAGGAACGACAGGGUGAUGACGAUCGCCUAACAACAUCGGGCGCCACCAACACCAUUGUCAUCGACCCCCAGGACCUAGCCGAGGCGGGGACUAGCGGCCUCACCCCGUUCUCACCUUCAUAACUUCAGAAACAGGCUAGGCGUCGCCAAGUAGCGAGAGGACGUCGCAGGAGAUGCAAGAGGAGACGCUGUUGAAGAUGCCAUGUACCUCGAGAUUCAUUACUAAGUUCUUCUAGUGGAUACACAAAUUAUAGAGGUUUAUUAAAUCUUUGUAUUGUGUUAUUAAUAUUGUCAAAUUCAAGAGUUGCACUU
rnacentral:misc_RNA from 1 species